CACUUUAGGAAGUAAAUCUAAGCAAAGAGAUGUAUUCGAUCCACUAAUACUAAACAUGUGUAUUUAGCAUAAAAACAUCUCUAUAUUUUGUAUUUUGAUCGUCAACCAGGUUUAUUUGAUCUAUGGUCAGCGGAAUGUUUUAUUGCCAAAGUAACGACUGACGCCAAGUGCUUCACUGGCAGGAAUCAAGUGGUAUUGAGUUUUCGCGAGGAGAUUGAAUCGAAGAGAGUUAAGUUAGGAGCGGACAACGAAGAUGGCAAAUAACAAGUAGUAAUUCAAACAUGAACUGUAUGAAUUGGCAACAAAAAAAUCCCUCGGUAAACUACCAUCCUGCCCAAGGACCCACAACUUUUGAAGAAGUGGCUCCAUGUCCUGAAGAGGAAGGACGUGCCAGCUCGAGCUAGCAGGAUCUGCAGACAGCACUUCGCAGAGGCAGACCUUUGCGAUGAAGGGCACUUUCAGUCAGGCAACUGGGAGUUUCCGAAUGGAAAGGAGUCAUGCGCCUACGUUGAAGCCCACCUGCUAGUGCCUCUGUGUGUUAUGGUGUAGCGGUUACCGACCAAACAUCAUCAACAUCGCUGACUUUGGAGUCAAGCAAAAGCGACUGAACGCGAGCCAAUGCAAUGAAGUCUGAGGAUGACAUCAUCCCUGAAAAUGUUUAUCAUCCUAGAGGAGACUGUGCAGGAGGCAGAGGAGCACCAGGGAAGAAGGGUUAGUACAGCAUGCCAAACUGACUCCUGGGUGCCAGAGUGUACCUGUGCUGCGGUGGAGAGAAGAGGUCCACCGGGACCAUCACUCAAGAGCUCGGGGCCCAGCUAGAUUGAGCUCACAACCGUCAGUAUAUAACUGAGUCCUGAGUCCGACCACUUUGGGGGAGCGGGAUGGGGUUCCGAAAAUGGAGAAGGAGCAGGCCAUUCAACAACGAAUUAAAAGAUACACACAUCCACGAAGGAAAUCUGGGUGGAAUUGUUUUUCAGCUGAUUUUGUUUUAAACCCGUUUCAACCCGUUUUUAACCUUGUCCCAAUGGAUGUGCUACCUCGUCCGGGUCCUGCUGUUUCGACUCUCUCUCUCAACCUAUGAAUGCUCAGCUAUGAAAGCCAACACCUCAGGAGCAAAUGUCAGUUGAACUGUUGCACCCUCUAUAACCACUGUGGUUCUUGUUUUGAUGUAAAAAGGGCUUUUAUAAAAUACAUUUGAGUGAUUGAU